rnacentral:misc_RNA from 1 species
GGUCACAAAAACAAAUAUGAUUGUACUUGACCAUAGAAAUGCCAAAUAUUUCUUCCUUAUUGAUUUCCCAUAAUUCAAUUGCAGGAACCAUGUACAAGAUACAAAUAAAAUUAUGGCAGGGGGAAUAAUAAACACCCUGAUAAAAUUUUAAAAAGCCCAUAACUAAGAAUGGUUACAAGAGGAGGAAAACGCCUUUGGCAAGUUGUCUUACAAUAGAAACAGUACAUUUCCCUGAAAGAACCGCCAGUUAAGAGUACU